CCUGACAUUAGAGGCCUUGAAGAUGUGGCUGCUGUGUCACAUGUGUUUGAGAAGGUGACAGAGAGGAAAGAGUCUUUGUCUACGCUCAGUAUUCUGACCUAUGAAUAUCUGAAUAAUUAGUAGACUAACUAG